rnacentral:Y_RNA from 1 species
GGCUGGUCCAAUGGUAGUAGGUUAUCAGAACUUAUUAACAUUAGUGUCACUAAAGUUGGUAUACACCUCCCCCCCCCCCACUGCUAAAUUUGACCGGCUUUUU